rnacentral:rRNA from 1 species
GAUGAACGCUGGCGGCGUGCCUAAUACAUGCAAGUCGAGCGAAUGAAUUGAGAGCUUGCUCUUAUGAAGUUAGCGGCGGACGGGUGAGUAACACGUGGGUAACCUGCCCAUAAGACUAGGAUAACUCCGGGAAACCGGGGCUAAUACCGGAUAACAUUUUGAACCGCAUGGUUCGAAAUUGAAAGGCGGCUUCGGCUGUCACUUAUGGAUGGACCCGCGUCGCAUUAGCUAGUUGGUGAGGUAACGGCUCACCAAGGCAACGAUGCGUAGCCGACCUGAGAGGGUGAUCGGCCACACUGGGACUGAGACACGGCCCAGACUCCUACGGGAGGCAGCAGUAGGGAAUCUUCCGCAAUGGACGAAAGUCUGACGGAGCAACGCCGCGUGAGUGAUGAAGGCUUUCGGGUCGUAAAACUCUGUUGUUAGGGAAGAACAAGUGCUAGUUGAAUAAGCUGGCACCUUGACGGUACCUAACCAGAAAGCCACGGCUAACUACGUGCCAGCAGCCGCAGUAA